AUCCGGAAUCGAGUCACGGUUUAUUGGGUUGGUAUAAAAAACAUGGAUUCACCUUGACACAAAAUCUUCGGUUUCCUGCGAUUCUCACGUUGAGACCCGAUCGAGGUUCUCCCUGAAACAGAGCGACGGAGGUGAGAAACAGGGUUUUUCACGUUUACCCUCUGUCCAUGAUAGAUGCUCGCAUCUGAGAAGAUUGCCUAAAACCGACUUGAUUGAAGGUUGUAAACUUUAUAUCUAGGGUUUACCCUCUUUCCAAAUCAGACGAUCGAAUCCGAGGUUUGAAUCUGCAAAAUCGAAGCUUGAUUUAAGGACACAGUGUUUGAUCCAGUGUCUCUCACAUGUGGCCAUAUCUUCUGCUACAUGUGUGCAUGCUCUGCAGCAUCAGUAAGCAUCGUGGAUGGCCUAAAGUCUACAGACCAUAAAGCAAAAUGCCCUCUAUGUCGAGAGGCUAGAGUUUUUGAAGGUUUUGUCUUUUUGGAGGAGCUUAACAUUUUAUUAAGUCGCAGUUGCCAUGAAUAUUGGGAGGAACGGCUUCGGACAGAAAGAAGGGAGAGGAUGAAGCAGGCAAAGGAGCACUGGGAAUCCCAAUGUCGAGCUUUCAUUGGAGUCUGAUUGAAAUUUGAGAUGGCAAAUACAACCUUAGUUCUGUAUUGCAACUGUCUUUCUUAGCAUCUCUCAGUCUCCAGGAGGAGUCAUGAGCAGAGUUAAGUUCUUAGGAUUCAUUUGAAAAUUUCUGCCUCCUUUCUUCUUCUGCCCUUUUUUUGUCCCUUAAUGUAGUUUGUUCAUAUUUUUUUCUGGAUUUUGUCUUUGUAUAUAUAAUUCUCCAUGUUUGGCUCCGACUCUGAUGAAGAAAUAAGAAAUCUUGGAGAUUUGGUC